rnacentral:rRNA from 1 species
CCCUUAGAUGUCCUGGGCCGCACGCGUGCUACACUGACGCCUACAGCGAGUACUUCCCAGCCCCGAGAGGUGGCUGGUAAUCAGCAAUAGGCGUCGUGAUGGGGAUAGAUCUUUGGAAUUAUGGAUCUUGAACGAGGAAUGCCUAGUAAGCGCAGGUCAAUAGCCUGCGCUGAUUAAGUCCCUGCCCUUUGUACACACCGCCCGUCGCUCCUACCGAUUUCGAGUGGUCCGGUGAAUCUUUCGGACUGCGCGCGGCCUCGCGCCGUGUCGCGGAAAGUCAGGUAAACCUUAUCACUUAGAGGAAGGAGAAGUCGUAACA